rnacentral:rRNA from 3 species
UCAGAAUGCCACGGUGAAUACGUUCCCGGGCCUUGUACACACCGCCCGUCACACCAUGGGAGUGGGUUGCAAAAGAAGUAGGUAGCUUAACCUUCGGGAGGGCGCUUACCACUUUGUGAUUCAUGACUGGGGUGAAGUCGUAACAAGGUAACCGUAGGGGAACCUGCGGUUGGAUCACCUCCUUACCUUAAAGAA